rnacentral:misc_RNA from 1 species
UCCCCGUUCUCCUGGGCAGUCUCUCCAGAGUUCUCGGCUUGACCCGUUAGUAACUGAAGACGGGGGUUGCGCUCGUUGCGGGACUUAACCCAACAUCUCACGACACGAGCUGACGACAGCCAUGCAGCACCUGUGUGGAAAGCUCCAUUGCUGGAGAAGCACGAUCUCUCGUACCGUCUUUCCCAUGUCAAGCCUUGGUAAGGUUCUUCGCGUUGCGUCGAAUUAAACCACAUGCUCCACCGCUUGUGCGGGCCCCCGUCAAUUCCUUUGAGUUUCGCUCUUGCGAGCGUACUCCCCAGGCGGAAUACUUAACGCGUUAGCUACGGCUCUGGACCGUUGACGGGCCCAAAACCUAGUAUUCAUCGUUUAUGGCAUGGACUAC